GGAAGACCUGCCUUCUCCCUGGACUACUGCAGAUGAUGAGAUACGGGAACGCCUGACGAAAGCCGGCAAAAGCCUUACAAACUGAAGCUGAUGGACUUGAUAUAAACUUGAGAUGACCUGACGACACCAUCUGAGACAUUUUAAACUGCAAAAGAUGCUUUGACGCUGACCUAUAAAACCUUAACUGGCUGUCCUCUAACUCAGAAACUGCUUUACAACUUGCUCCAACCAUUAACCUUGUUUUUCUUUUGUUUACAUAGAAAUGCUUCUAUUAAAUACUUGAUUGCUUGCUUCCAUAA